GGAGUAGUAGUGAGAAGAACAAAGGCCAUGUCCUCAACAAUGUCGCUUACCUCUUUCUGGGUGUUGCUAUUUCUGUGAAUGGGCACUGUGGUGUAUCGUGCAGCUGUAUGUUCGCAUCCCAGGCUAAGGGUUCCAACUCUCAGAAUUGUAAGUUCAUUGGGAACCAAUGUAUCAAGGUGGCAAGUAUUGGAGCAAGUGGAUAAGGAGCUGGCCAAGGGAGAUGACAGAACAGCUCUCUCUCUUGUCAAGGACCUGCAAGGGAAGCCUGAUGGGCUUAGAUGUUUUGGUGCUGCCAGGCAGGUACCGCAAAGGCUCUACACAUUGGAUGAAUUAAAGCUGAAUGGAAUUGAAGCGUCGUCUCUUCUAUCACCAGUGGAUGCAACUCUUGGUUCUAUAGAAAGAAACCUGCAGCUUGCUGCUGUUUUGGGAGGGCUUUCUGCAUGGAAUGUGUUUGGGUUUAGUCCACAACAACUCCUAUUGUUGUCUUUAGGAUUGUUGUUCUUGUGGACUCUGGACUUGGUUUCUUUUAAUGGAGGAGUUGGUAGCUUGGUUCUUGAUACAAUUGGUCAUACUUUCAGUCAGAAGUACCAUAACAGGGUUAUUCAACAUGAAGCUGGCCAUUUCUUAAUUGCCUACUUGCUGGGCAUUCUUCCUAAGGGGUAUACCCUAACAAGCUUGGAAGCUUUGCAGAAGGAAGGAUCUCUCAAUAUUCAAGCAGGAACUGCUUUUGUGGAUUUCGAGUUUCUUGAAGAAGUUAAUUCAGGAAAAGUAUCGGCUACGAUGCUGAACAGGUUCUCAUGCAUAGCACUUGCUGGAGUGGUAACCGAGUAUCUUCUAUACGGAUAUGCAGAGGGAGGCCUUGCUGAUAUUAACAAGUUGGAUUUGUUGCUUAAAGGCUUGGGCUUCACACAGAAGAAAGCAGAUUCACAAGUGAGAUGGUCUGUAUUGAACACUGUCCUAAUCUUGCGUCGCCAUAAGCAAGCACAAGGAAAGCUAACCGAGGCCAUGUCUAUGGGAAAGUCUGUAGGAGCAUGCAUUGGGGUCAUAGAGGAAAACAUAGACAACACAGACAUUUAAUUUCAACUGAGUUUUCACUGAUGCCUGAAAAUCGGUCUUUGCUAACCAGUAAACCUUUUACUGAUCCAUAGUUUAAUCACUGAACUCUUGUUGGAUAUGAAAUUUUGACUUGGAGCUUGAAGGCAGUGAAGAUGCAUUCAUUCUCUGGGAAACCUGCUACCCAAACUCCAUUCAGUUCAUGCAUUAAUAAAGAACAUUUGAUGAGCAACUGAUAUAGUGAAAUAAAAUGUUCCACAAUGGUUGAUCAUGCUUA